GUAUUGCUGGUGUAGUGGUAUUGUGCAAGAUUCCCAUUCUGGUGACCUGGGUUCGAUUCCUGGGCGGUGCG
rnacentral:tRNA from 1 species